rnacentral:rRNA from 1 species
GAUGAACGCUAGCUACAGGCUUAACACAUGCAAGUCGAGGGGAAACGAUAUUGGAAGCUUGCUUCCGAUAGGCGUCGACCGGCGCACGGGUGAGUAACGCGUAUCCAACCUGCCCACCACUUGGGGAUAACCUUGCGAAAGUAAGACUAAUACCCAAUGAUAUCUCUAGAAGACAUCUGAAGGAGAUUAAAGAUUUAUCGGUGAUGGAUGGGGAUGCGUCUGAUUAGCUUGUUGGCGGGGUAACGGCCCACCAAGGCGACGAUCAGUAGGGGUUCUGAGAGGAAGGUCACCCACAUUGGAACUGAGGCACGGUCCAAACUCCUACGGGAGGCAGCAGUGAGGAAUAUUGGUCAAUGGACGAGAGUCUGAACCAGCCAAGUAGCGUGCAGGAUGACGGCCCUAUAGGUUGUAAACUGCUUUUAUAAGGGAAUAAAGUGAGCCUCGUGAGGCUUUUUGCAUGUACCUUAUGAAUAAGGACCGGCUAAUUCCGUGCCAGCCGCCGCCGUAA